GAUGAAGAACGCAGCGAAAUGCGAUAAGUAAUGUGAAUUGCAGAAUCCAGUGAAUCAUCGAAUCUUUGAACGCACAUUGCGCCCGCCAGCAUUCUGGCGGGCAUGCCUGUUCGAGCGUCAUUUCAACCCUCGACCUCCCUUUGGGGAAGUCGGCGUUGGGGACCGGCAGCACACCGCCGGCCCUGAAAUGGAGUGGCGGCCCGUCCGCGGCGACCUCUGCGUAGUAAACCAACUCGCACCGGAACCCCGACGUGGCCACGCCGUAAAACACCCAACUUCUGAACGUUGACCUCGAAUCAGGUAGGACUACCCGCUGAACUUAAGCAUAUCAAUAGCGGAGGA
rnacentral:misc_RNA from 1 species